rnacentral:rRNA from 1 species
GAUGAACGCUGGCGGCGUGCUUAACACAUGCAAGUCGAACGAUGAACCCGAAGCUUGCUUUGGGGGAUUAGUGGCGAACGGGUGAGUAACACGUGAGCAACCUGCCCCUGACUCUGGGAUAAGCGCUGGAAACGGCGUCUAAUACUGGAUAUGAACUGGAACCGCAUGGUUACUGGUUGGAAAGAUUUUUUGGUUGGGGAUGGGCUCGCGGCCUAUCAGCUUGUUGGUGAGGUAAUGGCUCACCAAGGCGUCGACGGGUAGCCGGCCUGAGAGGGUGACCGGCCACACUGGGACUGAGACACGGCCCAGACUCCUACGGGAGGCAGCAGUGGGGAAUAUUGCACAAUGGGCGGAAGCCUGAUGCAGCAACGCCGCGUGAGGGAUGACGGCCUUCGGGUUGUAAACCUCUUUUAGCAGGGAAGAAGCGAGAGUGACGGUACCUGCAGAAAAAGCACCGGCUAACUACGUGCCAGCCGCCGCCGUAAAAC